rnacentral:lncRNA from 1 species
AGGGAUAUAGCAAGCCAACGAAGGUAUGAUCAAUAUCUCGCUGCGGCGUGCAGCACGAUCUUAAUUAUCACUCGAUAUCAAGCACUCGGCCUCACUCAGUCUUUACUCUCUAGUCUCACACACACAGGCUCCAAAUGUCAUGAUACUAGCCUGAACAAUGAUAUGAUGUGUCAAAUAACAAUAAUCAAGAUUGAGGUAUGAUAUAAUAUGCAUGAAUAGAACAAAGUACAGAAUUCAAUGAAGCUAAUGACAUGACAACAAGAAAUGACCUAUCG